AUUGAACGCUGGCGGCAUGCCUUACACAUGCAAGUCGAACGGCAGCACGGGAGCAAUCCUGGUGGCGAGUGGCGAACGGGUGAGUAAUGUAUCGGAACGUGCCCAGUCGUGGGGGAUAACGUAGCGAAAGCUACGCUAAUACCGCAUACGAUCUAUGGAUGAAAGCGGGGGAUCGCAAGACCUCGCGCGAUUGGAGCGGCCGAUAUCAGAUUAGGUAGUUGGUGGGGUAAAGGCCCACCAAGCCUGCGAUCUGUAGCUGGUCUGAGAGGACGACCAGCCACACUGGAACUGAGACACGGUCCAGACUCCUACGGGAGGCAGCAGUGGGGAAUUUUGGACAAUGGACGCAAGUCUGAUCCAGCCAUUCCGCGUGCAGGAUGAAGGCCCUCGGGUUGUAAACUGCUUUUGUACAGAACGAAAAGGCUCUGGUUAAUACCUAGGGCUCAUGACGGUACCGUAAGAAUAAGCACUGGCUAACUACGUGCCAGCAGCCGCAGUAA
rnacentral:rRNA from 1 species